CGCCAGACUCCUACGGGAGGCAGCAGUGGGGAAUAUUGCACAAUGGGGGAAACCCUGAUGCAGCGACGCCGCGUGAGUGAAGAAGUAUUUCGGUAUGUAAAGCUCUAUCAGCAGGGAAGAAAAUGACGGUACCUGACUAAGAAGCCCCGGCUAACUACGUGCCAGCAGCCGCGGUAAUACGUAGGGGGCAAGCGUUAUCCGGAUUUACUGGGUGUAAAGGGAGCGUAGACGGCAUGGCAAGUCAGAUGUGAAAGCCCGGGGCUCAACCCCGGGACUGCAUUUGAAACUGUCAGGCUGGAGUGCAGGAGAGGUAAGUGGAAUUCCUAGUGUAGCGGUGAAAUGCGUAGAUAUUAGGAGGAACACCAGUGGCGAAGGCGGCUUACUGGACUGUAACUGACGUUGAGGCUCGAAAGCGUGGGGAGCAAACAGGAUUAGAUACCCCCGUAU
rnacentral:rRNA from 1 species